rnacentral:lncRNA from 1 species
UAUUCUUUGUUCAUCAAAGGUAAACCUGGAUCCCUUGUGGUUGUGGCAGUCUAUGUGGAUGAUAUUAUCCUUACUGGGGAUGACAGUGAUGAGAUUACUACCCUGAAACAGUUUCUGGAUGAUCAGUUUAAAAUCAAGACCUAGGAUCUUUGCAUUAUUUUCUGGGCCUUGAAAUGUCAGUUGUUCCUGGUGGAAUGAUCCUUAAUCAGCAUAAAUAUAUUUUUGACUUACUGCACCAGUUUGAUUGUACAAAUGUCUCAUCUAUUGUUUCUCCUUUGGACAUUAAUGUCAAACUUCAUACUGAUUCUGGUGACCUUUUAUCCUCUCCUGACCAGUACAGGAGUCUAGUUGGUAAGAUGUUGUUUCUGACUCAUACUAGGCCUGACAUAUGCUUUGCUGCAUUAUUUUCUGGGCCUUGAAAUGUCAGUUGUUCCUGGUGGAAUGAUCCUUAAUCAGCAUAAAUAUAUUUUUGACUUACUGCACCAGUUUGAUUGUACAAAUGUCUCAUCUAUUGUUUCUCCUUUGGACAUUAAUGUCAAACUUCAUACUGAUUCUGGUGACCUUUUAUCCUCUCCUGACCAGUACAGGAGUCUUGUUGGUAAGAUGUUGUUUCUGACUCAUACUAGGCAUGACAUAUGCUUUGCUGUUCAACAUCUGAGUCAAUUCCUUAAAUGCCCCAGACUUUCCCAUAUGACUGCUGCCCUGCACGUUUUGAGAUACCUUAAAGGCACUCCUUCUAUGGGUCUCUUUUAUUCUGCCUGUGAUGAUUUCUCUGUGGUUGGUUAUUCUGAUAGUGACUGGGCUGCCUGCCCUGACACUAGGAGAUCUGUCACUGGAUUUUGUGUGCUAUUAGGUGGUUGCCUGAUUAGUUGGAAGUCUAAGAAGCAACCUGUUGUUUCUUUGUCUUCUGCUGAGGCAGAAUAUAGAGCCCUCAGCAAAGUUGUUGCUGAAUUAUCUUGGCUUUCUCGUUUGUUGGUUGAUCUUGGGGUAUCUGUUUCUCUUCCUUUUUCGUUAUAUUGUGACAGUCAGGCUGAUGUCCAUAUAUCUAACAAUCCUGUUUUUCAUGAGCGUACCAAACACAUCGAGGUGGACUUCCAUUUUGUUCGGGACCUACUCCAGAAUGGUUUUCUCAAGUUGCUUCAUGUUUCUACUUCUCGUCAGCUGGCUGACCUGCUCACUAAACCAUUGCCUGGCACUGUGCUUCAUCCACUGAUAUCCAAGUUGCAGGUGGUUUACCCAUCCAACUUGAGGGGGGGUGUUGAGAUGAAAGCCUAUAAAUGAUUAUACACAUUGUAUAUACAUUGUAUAUUUAUUAUAUUUUCUGGUAUACAAUGUAUUGGGUUGUGAUGAUUGUUGUUUAGGUUGUAUAUAUCUGAGCCCGUUUUCAUUUUGUUAUUGGGCCGUCUGGCCCGACCCAAUAGUAGUUGUAUAAAGGUCAUUUGUACAGAUAUUUUGGUUAAGGAUUUUCAUUUGCUUCUCGGGUUUCCUCCAGAAGCUUCUCAUCUCUCUCUACUUCUCACUGUUCAUCUUCAUCUUCUCUGGUUUUCUUCUCCAAAUCUCCAUGUUUUCAUGGUAUCAGAGCGGGGAAAUCUUCCGAUCCUUCCCUGUUAUGUGUUAUCGAUGC